rnacentral:rRNA from 1 species
GUGGGGAAUAUUGGGCAAUGGGCGAAAGCCUGACCCAGCGACGCCGCGUGAAGGAUGAAGGUCUUCGGAUUGUAAACUUCUUUGAUCAGGGAAGAAAGAAAUGACGGUACCUGAAAAACAAGCCACGGCUAACUACGUGCCAGCAGCCGCGGUAAUACGUAGGUGGCAAGCGUUGUCCGGAUUUACUGGGUGUAAAGGGCGUGUAGGCGGGGAUGCAAGUCAGAUGUGAAAUCCCGCGGCUCAACCGCGGAACUGCAUCUGAAACUGCGUCUCUUGAGUGUCGGAAGGGAAAGUGGAAUUCCUAGUGUAGCGGUGAAAUGCGUAGAUAUUAGGAGGAACACCGGUGGCGAAGGCGACUUUCUGGACGAUAACUGACGCUGAGACGCGAAAGCGUGGGGAGCAAACAGGAUUAGAAACCCGGGUAGUCC